rnacentral:rRNA from 1 species
UACGGAGGAUGCGAGCGUUAUCCGGAUUUAUUGGGUUUAAAGGGUGCGUAGGCGGGAUGCCAAGUCAGCGGUAAAAAUGCGGUGCUCAACGCCGUCGAGCCGUUGAAACUGGCGUUCUUGAGUGGAUGAGAAGUACGCGGAAUGCGUGGUGUAGCGGUGAAAUGCAUAGAUAUCACGCAGAACUCCGAUUGCGAAGGCAGCGUACCGGCAUCCAACUGACGCUGAGGCACGAAAGCGUGGGGAUCGAACAGG